AGUGAACGCUGGCGGCGUGCUUAACACAUGCAAGUCGAACGGAAAGGCCGUGCUUUUGUGGGGUGCUCGAGUGGCGAACGGGUGAGUAACACGUGAGUAACCUACCCUUGACUUUGGGAUAACUUCAGGAAGCUGAGGCUAAUACCGGAUAGGAGCUCCUGCUGCAUGGUGGGGGUUGGAAAGUUUCGGCGGUUGGGGAUGGACUCGCGGCUUAUCAGCUUGUUGGUUGGGUAGUGGCUUACCAAGGCUUUGACGGGUAGCCGGCCUGAGAGGGUGACCGGCCACACUGGGACUGAGAUACGGCCCAGACUCGUAUGGGAGGCAGCAGUGGGGAAUAUUGUACAAUGGGAGGAAGCCUGAUGCAGCAACGCCGCGGGCGGGAUGACGGCCUGCGGGUUGUAAACCGCUGUCGCCUGUGACGAAGCGUGAGUGACGGUAAUGGGUAAAGAAGCACCGGCUAACUACGUG
rnacentral:rRNA from 1 species